GGGUUGUGAGGUUAAGCGACUAAGCGUACACGGUGGAUGCCCUGGCAGUCAGAGGCGAUGAAGGACGUGCUAAUCUGCGAAAAGCGUCGGUAAGGUGAUAUGAACCGUUAUAACCGGCGAUGUCCGAAUGGGGAAACCCAGUGCAAUUCGUUGCACUAUCGUUAACUGAAUACAUAGGUUAACGAGGCGAACCGGGGGAACUGAAACAUCUAAGUACCCCGAGGAAAAGAAAUCAACCGAGAUUCCCCCAGUAGCGGCGAGCGAACGGGGAGCAGCCCAGAGUCUGAAUCAGCUUGUGUGUUAGUGGAACGGUCUGGAAAGUCCGACGGUACAGGGUGAUAGUCCCGUACACCAAAAUGCACAGGCUGUGAACUCGAAGAGUAGGGCGGGACACGUGGUAUCCUGUCUGAAUAUGGGGGGACCAUCCUCCAAGGCUAAAUACUCCUGACUGACCGAUAGUGAACCAGUACCGUGAGGGAAAGGCGAAAAGGACCCCGGCGAGGGGAGUGAAAAAGAACCUGAAACCGUGUACGUACAAGCAGUGGGAGCACCUUCGGGUGUGACUGCGUACCUUUUGUAUAAUGGGUCAGCGACUUAUAUUCUGUAGCAAGGUUAACCGUAUAGGGGAGCCGCAGGGAAACCGAGUCUUAACUGGGCGUUAAGUUGCAGGGUAUAGACCCGAAACCCGGUGAUCUAGCCAUGGGCAGGUUGAAGGUUGGGUAACACUAACUGGAGGACCGAACCGACUAAUGUUGAAAAAUUAGCGGAUGACUUGUGGCUGGGGGUGAAAGGCCAAUCAAACCGGGAGAUAGCUGGUUCUCCCCGAAAGCUAUUUAGGUAGCGCCUCGUGAAUUCAUCUUCGGGGUAGAGCACUGUUUCGGCUAGGGGGUCAUCCCGACUUACCAACCCGAUGCAAACUACGAAUACCGAAGAAUGUUAUCACGGGAGACACACGGCGGGUGCUAACGUCCGUCGUGAAGAGGGAAACAACCCAGACCGCCAGCUAAGGUCCCAAAGUCAUGGUUAAGUGGGAAACGAUGUGGGAAGGCACAGACAGCCAGGAUGUUGGCUUAGAAGCAGCCAUCAUUUAAAGAAAGCGUAAUAGCUCACUGGUCGAGUCGGCCUGCGCGGAAGAUGUAACGGGGCUAAACCAUGCACCGAAGCUGCGGCAGCGACACUAUGUGUUGUUGGGUAGGGGAGCGUUCUGUAAGCCUGCGAAGGUGACCUGUGAGGGUUGCUGGAGGUAUCAGAAGUGCGAAUGCUGACAUAAGUAACGAUAAAGCGGGUGAAAAGCCCGCUCGCCGGAAGACCAAGGGUUCCUGUCCAACGUUAAUCGGGGCAGGGUGAGUCGACCCCUAAGGCGAGGCCGAAAGGCGUAGUCGAUGGGAAACAGGUUAAUAUUCCUGUACUUGGUGUUACUGCGAAGGGGGGACGGAGAAGGCUAUGUUAGCCGGGCGACGGUUGUCCCGGUUUAAGCAUGUAGGCUGGUUGUCCAGGCAAAUCCGGAUAAUCAAGGCUGAGGUGUGAUGACGAGGCACUACGGUGCUGAAGUAACAAAUGCCCUGCUUCCAGGAAAAGCCUCUAAGCAUCAGGUAACAUCAAAUCGUACCCCAAACCGACACAGGUGGUCAGGUAGAGAAUACCAAGGCGCUUGAGAGAACUCGGGUGAAGGAACUAGGCAAAAUGGUGCCGUAACUUCGGGAGAAGGCACGCUGGUGUGUAGGUGAAGCCCCUGCGGGUGGAGCUGAGACCAGUCGAAGAUACCAGCUGGCUGCAACUGUUUAUUAAAAACACAGCACUGUGCAAACACGAAAGUGGACGUAUACGGUGUGACGCCUGCCCGGUGCCGGAAGGUUAAUUGAUGGGGUUAUCCGUAAGGAGAAGCUCUUGAUCGAAGCCCCGGUAAACGGCGGCCGUAACUAUAACGGUCCUAAGGUAGCGAAAUUCCUUGUCGGGUAAGUUCCGACCUGCACGAAUGGCGUAAUGAUGGCCAGGCUGUCUCCACCCGAGACUCAGUGAAAUUGAACUCGCUGUGAAGAUGCAGUGUACCCGCGGCAAGACGGAAAGACCCCGUGAACCUUUACUAUAGCUUGACACUGAACAUUGAGCCUUGAUGUGUAGGAUAGGUGGGAGGCUUUGAAGCGUGGACGCCAGUCUGCGUGGAGCCAACCUUGAAAUACCACCCUUUAAUGUUUGAUGUUCUAACGUUGGCCCCUUACCGGGGUUGCGGACAGUGUCUGGUGGGUAGUUUGACUGGGGCGGUCUCCUCCCAAAGCGUAACGGAGGAGCACGAAGGUUAGCUAAUCCUGGUCGGACAUCAGGAGGUUAGUGCAAUGGCAUAAGCUAGCUUGACUGCGAGCGUGACGGCGCGAGCAGGUGCGAAAGCAGGUCAUAGUGAUCCGGUGGUUCUGAAUGGAAGGGCCAUCGCUCAACGGAUAAAAGGUACUCCGGGGAUAACAGGCUGAUACCGCCCAAGAGUUCAUAUCGACGGCGGUGUUUGGCACCUCGAUGUCGGCUCAUCACAUCCUGGGGCUGAAGUAGGUCCCAAGGGUAUGGCUGUUCGCCAUUUAAAGUGGUACGCGAGCUGGGUUUAGAACGUCGUGAGACAGUUCGGUCCCUAUCUGCCGUGGGCGCUGGAGAAUUGAGGGGGGCUGCUCCUAGUACGAGAGGACCGGAGUGGACGCAUCACUGGUGUUCGGGUUGUCAUGCCAAUGGCACUGCCCGGUAGCUAAAUGCGGAAGAGAUAAGUGCUGAAAGCAUCUAAGCACGAAACUUGCCCCGAGAUGAGUUCUCCCUGAGACUUUAAGUCUCCUGAAGGAACGUUGAAGACGACGACGUUGAUAGGCCGGGUGUGUAAGCGCAGCGAUGCGUUGAGCUAACCGGUACUAAUGAACCGUGAGGCUUAACCUUACAACGCCGAAG
rnacentral:rRNA from 1 species